rnacentral:tRNA from 1 species
GCCUGGGUGGCUCAGUCGGUUAAGCAUCUGACUCUGGCUCAGGUCAUGAUCUCACAGUUCGUGGGUUCGAGCCCCACGUCGGGCU